UACGUAGGGUGCGAGCGUUAAUCGGAAUUACUGGGCGUAAAGCGUGCGCAGGCGGCCGAGCAAGUCGAGUGUGAAAGCCCCGAGCUUAACUUGGGAACUGCGCUCGAAACUACUUGGCUAGAGUGUGGCAGAGGGAGGUGGAAUUCCACGUGUAGCGGUGAAAUGCGUAGAGAUCGGGAGGAACACCAGAGGCGAAGGCGGCGACCUGGAGAGUCACUGACACUCAACUGCGAAAGCGUGGGGAGCAAACAGG
rnacentral:rRNA from 1 species